GAACGCUGGCGGCGUGCCUAACACAUGCAAGUCGAGCGGAGUCGAUCGACGGAAGCCUUCGGGCGAAGAUGGUUGACUUAGCGGCGGAUGGGUGAGUAACGCGUGGGCAACCUGCCUCGAAGACCGGGAUAACAGCCCGAAAGGGCUGCUAAUACCGGAUGUGGUCAAAGAUCCGCAUGGAUUUUGAUUAAAGGGGAAACCCGUUUCGAGAUGGGCCCGCGUCCUAUCAGCUAGUUGGUGAGGUAAAAGCUCACCAAGGCGACGACGGGUAGCCGGCCUGAGAGGGUGACCGGCCACACUGGAACUGAGACACGGUCCAGACUCCUACGGGGGGCAGCAGUGGGGAAUCUUCCACAAUGGGCGAAAGCCUGAUGGAGCGACGCCGCGUGAGCGAAGAAGGCCUUCGGGUUGUAAAGCUCUGUCUGGAGGGACGAAGGAAGUGACGGUACCUCCGGAGGAAGCCACGGCUAACUACGUG
rnacentral:rRNA from 1 species